GGCCGGCUUCUUCCUCGUUAUUCCUUUCUUUUAGCCUGCAGACUGCUCACUUCUGCAGCUCUUCUCUAUCACAACGUCGUCCCCGCUUCUGCCCUCCCUUUCCUAGUGAUCGGCGUUGUUGCUACUUGAAGGAAGGUGCUCACAGAGAAACACAACAGCAGCAGCCCAACCAGUUUGCCCACUUGUGGUGCGGACAUCUUGUCUACUUUUCGCCCUUGCAGCUAGUGAAAAAGGCUUCACAUGUCACAGGCAACCGUCAAGAUGGCCACCGCGAAGGUGACGGAGAGGGAGGCGGCGUGCGUGACGGCGCUCAAGGGCGAGUACCCGGCCAGCAAGGCCGACCCUGCAGAUGCCGGCUUCCUCAGCGACAGCACGUACCUCCGCUUUGCACGUGCGCGCGAUGGCAACGUCGAGAGGGCUUCUGAGUUGCUUGGUGCCACCUUGAAGUGGCGCCAGCAGACCAAACCCUACGCCAUCACCAUGGAGGAGGUCCAAAACACCAUGAAGCAGACAACCAUGUACUGCGGCGGCCGCUGUAAAAUUGGAUGUCCCGUGAUUGCGAUGGCCCUCGGCAUGCAGAACGACUGCACCGUCGAGGAGAGAACGAAGCAGCUGGUGUACAUUAUGGAGGAGACCCAACGCAAGGGCUACGAGCGCAUCACCUGGAUCAUCGACUUUGGUGCCAUGGGCAAUCACCGCGAUGAGCGCAGCAAGGAGGCGCGCAAGGAGACGAUGAAGAUUUUGCAGGACUACUACCCGGAGCGCAUGGCACGCAUCCUGCUCUACCGAACGCCGUGGUAUAUUCGCAUGUUACUCGGCGUCGCCAAGAUGUUCAUGGAUGCCCGCACCGCGGCGAAGGUCUACAACGCUGGGAGAACUAUUGAGGAGCUGGAAAAGUUCAUUGACCGCGACCAGGUGCCGCCGGUCUGCGGUGGUACGAUGAAAGGCUCCGCCUUGUCGCACCUCGAGGAGUUGCCGAGCCUAAACAGCGAGGAGGCACAGCGGCCAGGUCACAAGCAGCACACCGCGGAUGCGGACAGUGCCAACGACGGUGGCCUAGUGACGUCGAACAAUACAGCGGGGGAGGAGCCUGCUGCAGCUAAUGGUGAGGCGAAACGGAAUGACAACAUUGCUGCUACGGAUGCCGCGUGAGCAAUGCAAAGCAGUAGAGCCAGCAGCGCCGUAGGUGGCGCAUGCGAUCCGUUUCUGGCGAUUUUCUCUACUGCUUUGUCCCAUCAUCUGGCUCGAUUCGGGGAGAGAGGCGCCGUGUGCGCCUUUCUGUUGCUCUACGGGACUUCAGCAUUCUUGUUGUGUUGGCGUUUUUCUUUCGAUUCUGUUAGCAGCACCUGUUCGCCUACCACCACGUGGAUGGCCGACGACGGGGAUUCCGCUCUCGUUGCCCAAAGACUGUUCUGACGAUGGGUGAUGGGGCAAUGGUGAUGGCAUGGGCUGCUGCGUGAAUUCGGGCCUCUUGUGCAAGUGCCCGGAGUAUGGAUUGAUAUAUUACGCUCGUUUAUGUGUUUGUGUGCGCAUUGCCUUGAGCGCUUCCGCUUUCCAGUGCAUGUGGGAACGCUUUCUCUCUCUUUGUUUUCGUUGUCAGCGCUGGGUCUUUGAAAACAAUACAUAUCGCCAUGGCUGUAUUUGAGUAUGUGUUAAGUCAUUGCCUGUUUUUUUUUCCGUUGGUAGACGUCCCGUCAUCCUUACCUCUGUCUUUUCCUUUUAUCUCUCUUUUCAGUCCAACUAAAACGGCCUUUCCUCUCUCUUUCUAUGUGCGCGUGUGUGUUCAACGGCCUCGCACUGCCUAAUGACACCAACUCGUCGUUAACUCGCUCUCCCGUUGUAUGGGCGUCUUCAUCGCUCUUCUUUUUUCUUUGGAGAGAGAAGUCAAUACUCUCCGGCUCGCUCGUGCAGCUCGCGCCUGUGAGGGCGGCAAUGCGGCAUCGCCUGUGCUGCUGGUGUGUGGCAGCGGUGUACUGAUUCGGUGAAGCAAUUAAGGCUUUUUCGCUUCUCCCUCUCUGCGUGUGUUCGCGCAAUCGUGGCGCAUCGCACUCCUUUUUUUUUUUAAUUGCUCGCACAGCUCAUUGACUGCCACCCACGUAAGCGCCAGCAAGACUAGGCACGCUUACCCGUUGACACGCACUCAAAUCUCGGCACACAGAUCAAGCAAACGACAUGGAGAAGAAGGAAUAGGGGGCGUCUACAUGCAAGACAGCAUUGCCAUUGAAUUUUCGAUGUCCUUGUCUCUUCACAGCACACACACACAUAGGUAUGUAUAUAUCCUUGCCUCUCCGACCUUUUUCUUCGUUUGUGUGCGUGUGUGUGGGGGGGGAGAGGGUAUAGCCUCUCUUCUUCUCCCUCUACCCUCUUCACUUGUACAAAAACGAUAAUACCCUCUGAACGGGCAUUGCGGGCAUGUGUGUGUGUGUGUGUGUGUGUGUGUUUUUGUUUUUCUGAUAUGCCUCUCUCUCUUUCUCGCUCCUUAAGAGUUCGUGUGCGCGCGUUUGAUGCGUUGUACUCUUCACGGGUGCC
rnacentral:misc_RNA from 1 species